rnacentral:pre_miRNA from 1 species
AAGCUACUCCCUCCGUCCGGAAAUACUUGUCCGAGGAAUGGAUGUAUCUAGAUGUAUUUUAGUUCUAGAUACAACCAUUUGUAUCCAUUUCUACGACAAGUAUUUCCGGACGGAGGGAGUAGUAU